CUCUGACUACCCUGAAUAUACUGCAAAACAUUUUCUAGGGCUCUAUACAUUUCUACUGAUUAAAAUUGGAACAGAUGAAUUAUAACUGUUGGUCCGAGGCCAAGGAUUUCCAAGAAUUGAUGGUAUAUAACUGAAGAGACUGACUGAUCAAUGAAAACCACGGUUCUGUCUUGAUGAAAUAAUUUUCUAAGUGAAG